GACAUAGGUGGCAAACGUUAUCCGGAUUUAUUGGGCGUAAAGGGUGCGUAGGCGGUUUGGUAAGUCUGAUGUGAAAUCUAUGGGCUCAACUCAUAGUCUGCAUCGGAAACUGCCGGGCUUGAGUAUGGGAGAGGUGAGUGGAAUUCCUGGUGUAGCGGUGAAAUGCGUAGAUAUCAGGAGGAACACCUGUGGCGAAAGCGGCUCACUGGACCAUAACUGACGCUGAUGCACGAAAGCUAGGGGAGCAAACAGG
rnacentral:rRNA from 1 species